CUCUCGCCACCAUGUGAGGACAGCAAGAAGGUAGCCACCUGCAAGCCAGGAAGAGGGUCCUCAUUAGAACUCAAUCUCAUUAGAACUCAACCACAUGGGCACCCUAACCUUGGACAUCUGCCUCCAGAAUGGAUCUGAGUCCCAAGUCAACAUUUACAAAGUCCCUACUGCCUGAAGGAGGGCAUGAGAAGGGAAGCCCACCUACUCUCCAUGCCCCAGAUGGAAAAACUGAGGCAGAGAGGAGCCAAGUAGCUGCCUGAGAUCUGCAAUUAGCAAGUGGUGGAGCCAGUUUCAAAUGUGUCAGUAUAAGACAAUGUUCCCAGAACUGACCAAGUCUUGAAUCAGAAACCAAAAAUAGAGAGGAUCAAGCUAUAAAACAGAGAAGACGUAAUAAAGACGGGGCGCGGAAAUACCACGUGAGCCCAUAAAUGCCAUUGUUUAAAGAGAGCGCUGACCUCAACAAAUUUCCUCCCGGGUGAGAUGACGGAGCUGGACGAGGGGCCUCGGACGACCCCGCCCGGCUCUCGCAUUCCUCGUCAAUUCAGCAGGAAUUCCUGGAGCAUCUCCCAGUGGGACCCAGCACUGUUGUUCAAGUUAGUUGCUGUUAACCAGUACAGUAACCAUGAACACCUCCAGGGAACAGAGCAAUGUUCGGCCUGGCGUACCCGCUUUGAAAAAACAGACACUAUCCUUGUUUCCCAGAGAUUUGCAGCAUGAAAAUAGAAAUCCUGUAAUCCACCGUCAUAAGGAUGAUAUAUAUCAUCAAACAGGAUUACAAAAGUGAAUCAAGGAGAAAGAGGGGAAUCAAAGGGCGUAUGAGUGGUCUGUGGAAAGUGUGGAGACAGUCAGGGUGAGCUUCCUGGAGGAGCUGGCCUUUGAGCUGUGAUGGAAGAGAAGAGAGCCACAAAAUCAGGGCUCCUCCCUAGCUCCCCAUUUCUUCUCCACAUUGUUUUCCUCCUAUAAAUACAAAUGCCCUAAACUCUGAUAAAGCGUAAGUAAUAAAGAGAAAGAAAAUAAA
rnacentral:lncRNA from 1 species